CGUGUGGAGCGGAGACUGAUCCACAGACAGACAUUGUCUUCAUGCACAGACGGCAUCUCCGCACCCCAAAACCACCUGGGGGGCCUGCUCUGUGCUGGCCAGAGAGUGACCAAGAGAUGGCCACGCAGUUAGCCCCCAGGGCCACCCCAAGCACAUCACAUGCAGCUGGCCAAAGUUACUUCCUCCACCUACAUCAACCCGUCCGUGCAUCAGUCCAUCCUGCAUCCCUCCAUCCAGCCGCCCACAAGGACCCGUUUCUGAUGGACAUUUCUGCAGAAGUCUUUGUGGAGGGAGCUGAUGGUGCCGGAACCAGAUUCAUCCAGACCCGCACCUCCCAGGAAGGAGAUGGAGCCAACGGCUCCGCAGAUGCUUGGAGGGGUGCCAAGAUAUGGGAAGGGGACAUGCCCUCCAGGUAAGGAAGGGCUUUUCAAGCUGUAGCACCUGCAGUGGGGAAGUCACCUGAGGAGGUGUCUGAGCCGUGCCAGCCAGGCCCCCGGAGGCUCUUACGAGUCACAGGCUGCAUCCCAGAUGACCUGCUGACACACCGCUGCACGCACUGAGCGCCUACUCUGUGCAGGCCCUCCUCUGCGUACUCUUCCACUCAACUGAGCAGCACAAGGUCAGGGGCCCGUCUCUCCAUCACGGGGGAACACAUUUAUUCAUACAAGAAAACCAUUUGAAGUAGGCUGCACUUUCAGCAGCAUGGCACCGAAUGAAUACAACUCGGAAGUCCUGGAGCUGCUGUGGAUGCCCACAUAGACGCCCCCAGUGCGAGUCUGCGGGGAGGAGCCUAGCGACCGCUGACUGUUAACGGCCCCUCAGAUGACUCUGGCCUUCUGCAGAAGAAACCAUCAUCGUCCAAGGGGGUGUUUAAUGACUUGAGGACAAAGUCAUGUAUUACUGAACAAAACUGGGUUAUAGCAAAGUGCACAGAGCGAGCUGAGUCUCCUUUAAGAGACGGACCUCGGGGCGCCUGGGUGGCUCAGUCGGUUAAGAGUCUGCCUUUACUUUGGCUUUGAGCGCGAUCUCAUGGUCCCCGGAUCGAGCUCUGCGUCGGGCUCCCUGCUCAGGGGAGAGUCUGCUUCUCCCUCUGCCCCUAUCCCCCGCUCAUGC